rnacentral:rRNA from 1 species
GGCGUAAAGCGCAUGCAGGUGGUUUGUUAAGUCAGAUGUGAAAGCCCGGGGCUCAACCUCGGAAUAGCAUUUGAAACUGGCAGACUAGAGUACUGUAGAGGGGGGUAGAAUUUCAGGUGUAGCGGUGAAAUGCGUAGAGAUCUGAAGGAAUACCGGUGGCGAAGGCGGCCCCCUGGACAGAUACUGACACUCAGAUGCGAAAGCGUGGGGAGCAAACAGGAUUAGAUACCCUGGUAGUCCACGCCGUAAACGAUGUCUACUUGGAGGUUGUGGCCUUGAGCCGUGGCUUUCGGAGCUAACGCGUUAAGUAGACCGCCUGGGGAGUACGGUCGCAAGAUUAAAACUCAAAUGAAUUGACGGGGGCCCGCACAAGCGGUGGAGCAUGUGGUUUAAUUCGAUGCAACGCGAAGAACCUUACCUACUCUUGACAUCCAGAGAACUUUCCAGAGAUGGAUUGGUGCCUUCGGGAACUCUGAGACAGGUGCUGCAUGGCUGUCGUCAGCUCGUGUUGUGAAAUGUUGGGUUAAGUCCCGCAACGAGCGCAACCCUUAUCCUUGUUUGCCAGCGAGUAAUGUCGGGAACUCCAGGGAGACUGCCGGUGAUAAACCGGAGGAAGGUGGGGACGACGUCAAGUCAUCAUGGCCCUUACGAGUAGGGCUACACACGUGCUACAAUGGCGCAUACAGAGGGCGGCCAACUUGCGAGAGUGAGCGAAUCCCAAAAAGUGCGUCGUAGUCCGGAUUGGAGUCUGCAACUCGACUCCAUGAAGUCGGAAUCGCUAGUAAUCGUGGAUCAGAAUGCCACGGUGAAUACGUUCCCGGGCCUUGUACACACCGCCCGUCACACCAUGGGAGUGGGCUGCAAAAGAAGUAGGUAGUUUAACCUUCGGGGGGACGCUUACCACUUUGUGGUCAUGAUGGGGGAUAAACGGGGCCCCCCAAAAAAAAAAAAAAAAAAA